rnacentral:rRNA from 1 species
AUUGAACGCUAGCGGGAUGCUUUACACAUGCAAGUCGAACGAGUGUCGGACGUGUUAGUACUAUAUCGGAACGUGCCCAGUAGCGGGGGAUCCCUACUCGAACGCUUUGCUCAUCCCGCCUCCUAUUUUCUCGGCCGAUAUCGGAUUAGCUAGUUGGUGGGUUAAAGGCUCACAAAGGCAACGAUCCGUAGCGGGGUUGAGAGGACGACCAGCCACACUGGGACGGAGACACGGCCCAGACUCCUACGGUAGGAAGCAGUGGGGAAUUGUGGACAAUGGGGGAAACCCUGAGCCAGCCAUCCCGCGUGUAUGAGAAGGCCUUCGGGUUGUAAAGUACUUUUGGCAGAGAAGCGGGAGCUGCAGAAUAAGCACCGGCUAACUACGUGCCAGCAGCCGCGGUAAUAC